GUUUCAAGCGCACAAGAGAAGAUAUUUCCUCCAUCCCUUAUCUCUUCAUUUGAAGAAAGCUCAUGCCCCUUUUUGAAAGUUGUGUGGCAUCCAAGUGUUGGACACCAAAAAGGAACUCCAUCCUAAAAAUGAAAGGUGUUCUCGACUCCAAAAUCUGCACCAAGGAGAAGUCCCAAAAGAGUAUGACUCUUUCCCAUUCAUCACGUGUGAAGUUGUUCACGCA
rnacentral:lncRNA from 1 species